UACAGGGGGUGCAAGCGUUAAUCGGAAUUACUGGGCGUAAAGCGUGCGUAGACGGUAGCGUAAGUCGGGUGUGAAAGCCCCGGGCUCAACCUGGGAAUUGCAUUCGAGACUGCUCUGCUAGGGUGCGGAAGAGGGAAGCGGAAUUUCCGGUGUAGCGGUGAAAUGCGUAGAUAUCGGGAGGAACACCGGUGGCGAAGGCGGCGACCUGGGUGGAUACUGACGCUGAGGUGCGAAAGCGUGGGGAGCAAACAGG
rnacentral:rRNA from 1 species